UACGAAGGGGGCUAGUGUUGUUCGGAAUUACUGGGCGUAAAGCGCACGCAGGCGGCUCGAUAAAUUAGAAGUGAAAGCCCCGGGCUUAACCUGGGAAUUGCUUUUAAGACUGUCGGGCUAGAAUCCAGAAGAGGGUAGUGGAAUUCCGAGUGUAGAGGUGAAAUUCGUAGAUAUCGGAAGGAACAUCAGUGGCGAAAGCGGCUUCCUGGUCCAGCACCGACGUUCAGGCACGAAAGCGUGGGGAGCAAACAGG
rnacentral:rRNA from 1 species